rfam:Gossypium arboreum cultivar AKA8401 contig_4293_3, whole genome shotgun sequence.
AAUUAAAAGUUUCAUCCUUUUCUACUCUUAAAAAAUAGCAUCGCUAACAGAAUAAUUAGUUAGGCGUGCCAUGUCUACCUCAUUCUAAUAUACAGGGACCAGUUUUUGAUAGUAGAAAUUGAUGAAAUUUUUAACA